UACGUAGGGUGCAAGCGUUAAUCGGAAUUACUGGGCGUAAAGCGUGCGCAGGCGGUUCGUUAAGUUCGUUGUGAAAGCCCCGGGCUCAACCCGGGAACUGCAAUGGAAACUGGCGGGCUUGAAUGCGGCAGAGGGGGGUGGAAUUCCGCGUGUAGCAGUGAAAUGCGUAGAGAUGCGGAGGAACACCGAUGGCGAAGGCAGCCCCCUGGGCCGACAUUGACGCUCAGGCACGAAAGCGUGGGGAGCAAACAGG
rnacentral:rRNA from 1 species